CAGUAGCCGCGGUAAUACGAAGGGUGCAAGCGUUACUCGGAAUUACUGGGCGUAAAGCGUGCGUAGGUGGUGGUUUAAGUCCGUUGUGAAAGCCCUGGGCUCAACCUGGGAACUGCAUUAGUGACUGCAUCGCUGGAGUGCGGCAGAGGGGGAUGGAAUUCCGCGUGUAGCAGUGAAAUGCGUAGAUAUGCAGAGGAACACCGAUGGCGAAGGCAGCCCCCUGGGCCAAUACUGGCGCUCAUGCACGAAAGCGUGGGGAGCAAACAGGAUUAGAGACCCCAGUAGUCCCUGUCUCUUAUAC
rnacentral:rRNA from 1 species